rnacentral:rRNA from 1 species
CAAUAGCGUAUAUUAAAGUUGUUGCAGUUAAAAAGCUCGUAGUUGAAUUUCGGGUGCUCGUAGUCGGUCCUUCAUUGGGCUGGCGCGUGUGCUCUCCCCGCCUUUGGCGGCCUUUACUGUGAAAAAAUUAGAGUGUUCAAAGCAGGCAAUCGCUUGAAUACAUUAGCAUGGAAUAAUAAGAUAGGAUCUUGUCUAUUUUGUUGGUUGCGGACAAAGAUAAUGAUUAAUAGGGAUAGUUGGGGGUGUCCGUAUUGAGCUGUCAGAGGUGAAAUUCUUGGAUUUGCUCAAGACGAACUGCUGCGAAAGCGUUCACCAUGGAUGUUUUCAUUAA